CAGUAGCCGCGGGAAUACAGAGGGUGCGAGCGUUAAUCGGAUUUACUGGGCGUAAAGCGUGUGUAGGUUGUUGUUCAAGUCAGUUGUGAAAUCCCUGGGCUCAACCUGGGAACUGCUUCUGAGACUGAACGACUAGAGUACGGUAGAGGGUGGUGGAAUUUCCGGUGUAGCGGUGAAAUGCGUAGAUAUCAGGAGGAACACCUAUGGCGAAGGCAGCUCGCUGGAACGUUACUGACGCUGAGACGCGAAAGCGUGGGGAGCAAACAGGAUUAGAUACCCGUGUAGUCCCUGUCUCUUAUAA
rnacentral:rRNA from 1 species